rnacentral:rRNA from 1 species
UACACAUGCAAGUCGAGGGGCAGCGGAGAGGUAGCAAUACCUUUGCCGGCGACCGGCGCACGGGUGAGUAACACGUAUGCAAUCCACCUGUAACAGGGGGAUAACCCGGAGAAAUCCGGACUAAUACCCCAUAAUAUGGGCGCUCCGCAUGGAGAGCCCAUUAAAGAGAGCAAUUUUGGUUACAGACGAGCAUGCGCUCCAUUAGCCAGUUGGCGGGGUAACGGCCCACCAAGGCGACGAUGGAUAGGGGUUCUGAGAGGAAGGUCCCCCACAUUGGAACUGAGACACGGUCCAAACUCCUACGGGAGGCAGCAGUGAGGAAUAUUGGUCAAUGGUCGGCAGACUGAACCAGCCAAGUCGCGUGAGGGAAGACGGCCCUACGGGUUGUAAACCUCUUUUGUCGGAGAGUAAAGUACGCUACGCGUAGCGUAUUGCAAGUAUCCGAAGAAAAAGCAUCGGCUAACUCCGUGCCAGCAGCCGCGGUAAUACGGAGGAUGCGAGCGUUAUCCGGAUUUAUUGGGUUUAAAGGGUGCGUAGGCGGCACGCCAAGUCAGCGGUGAAAUUUCCGGGCUCAACCCGGAGUGUGCCGUUGAAACUGGCGAGCUAGAGUGCACAAGAGGCAGGCGGAAUGCGUGGUGUAGCGGUGGAAUGCAUAGAUAUCACGCAGAACCCCGAUUGCGAAGGCAGCCUGCUAGGGUGCGACAGACGCUGAGGCACGAAAGCGUGGGUAUCGAACAGGAUUAGAUACCCUGGUAGUCCACGCAGUAAACGAUGAAUACUAACUGUUUGCGAUACAAUGUAAGCGGUACAGCGAAAGCGUUAAGUAUUCCACCUGGGGAGUACGCCGGCAACGGUGAAACUCAAAGGAAUUGACGGGG